rnacentral:rRNA from 1 species
UACGUAGGGGGCGAGCGUUAUCCGGAUUUACUGGGUGUAAAGGGCGUGCAGCCGGGUCUGCAAGUCAGAUGUGAAAGGCGUGGGCUUAACCCAUGGACGGCAUUUGAAACUGCGGGUCUUGAGUACCGGAGAGGUCAUCGGAAUUCCUAGUGUAGCGGUGAAAUGCAUAGAUAUCACGCAGAACUCCGAUUGCGAAGGCAGCAUACCGGCGCCCAACUGACGCUCAUGCACGAAAGCGUGGGUAUCGA